CACCCGAUACCCGCUUUUUUAUGAGGGGACUUCCAAGAAGCAUCUGCAACGCAGUAGGAAGGAAGCUUGGUCUUGAGGGAGGAUGUCAUUGAUGGAAAGCGAAUGGGUUAGUUGAGUGAAAGGCUUGGCAGGUUCAUUGUGUAGUAAGGCUUCAUUCCAAAGGUUUAAAUCCAUAAUAGCUACCUUGAUAACCUGCACAAGAUGAUCUCUAUUGUUU
rnacentral:lncRNA from 1 species